rnacentral:pre_miRNA from 1 species
UGUUAUGGGCCUGGUCCAAAGCCCAGUGAAGUCAAUAGGAAUCUUUCCAUUGAUCUCAAUGGGCUUCGGAGCAGGUCCUAAACCA